UUGCCAGAAAACGGCCAAGCCUCAAAAGCUUUCAUCGCAACUAUCUGCAAAAGUCUGCGCUUCUUCCUCUAAACCUCUGCUGCCUCCAUGCCACUUCCGCCUGUACGGCCACCAUCGACAUCACAGCAACCUCAAGUAAUGAACAAAACGCCUCCUCCUCCUCUGUUCCAUGAUUUUCUCCGCGUAGACCGUUAGGUAAAGAUAAGUUCCUUUGAGUUAUUUUACAAAACGCCCGACCGGACUAUGGCCUGUGAUAAGCUCAGAACAAGCUUCUUUGAUUUCAGGGGAAGGGUUGUGUUUACAGCACUUGAAGCAUUUGUGAAGAAGAUGCCGACUAAGUAAAGAAGAAGAGUUGAAGUUGUAUAGCUACAAAGUUGUAGUAGAUGAGCUUGACUCUGCUGAGAAAUUUCUCAGGGCCCUUGUGGAGUACCAUUUGCAUUUCAAGAAGCUGAAGCAAUGCUUUAUAGAGAGACGGUUGAAGAUGAAGUGGUUCAUCUUAGAAACUCCUUCUCAAUGCUUGAGGAAGCUUGCACGGAGCUUAAGUCAAGCAGGUUAUUCCUGAAGCUUUUAAAAGUCGUCCUUAGGACUGGGAACAAGAUGAAUGUAGGAACCAUACUUGGUGGCGCAAAAGCCUUCAAGCUCUCCAAUGUUAAGUGCACAUAUGAAAAAACAACUCUAUUCCACUUUGUCGUGAAAGAGAUAUCUAGGUCAAAGGGAAUCAGGGUUUAAGACAGCAUCAUGGCAUGCACCAGAGAUUAAAAAAAAACAGAACAGGGAGAAAGGGGAGGAAUACAAAAAAUAUUAUAACUUACUUCCCUUCGGAAAAUCAAUACUUGAUCGUUUAUGGCGGUUUGUAAAACAAGAAGGUAUAUAAAUUCGUUGGUGAGUA